rnacentral:rRNA from 1 species
UGCAAGUCGAACGAGAAAGGGAUCUUCGGAUCCUGAGUAAAGUGGCGCACGGGUGAGUAACGCGUAGGUAAUCUACCCUAGUGUCCGGGACAACAUCGGGAAACUGGUGCUAAUACCGGAUAAUCUUAUAAUAAUGCGAGUUGAUAUAAGGAAAGAUGGGGACCCUUCGGGGCCUAUUGCACGAGGAUGAGCCUGCGUACCAUUAGCUAGUAGGUGGGGUAACGGCCCACCUAGGCGACGAUGGUUAGCGGGUCUGAGAGGAUGAUCCGCCACACUGGCACUGGAACACGGGCCAGACUCCUACGGGAGGCAGCAGUGAGGAAUUUUGCACAAUGGGGGCAACCCUGAUGCAGCGACGCCGCGUGAGUGAUGAAGGCUUUCGAGUUGUAAAGCUCUGUCAGCAGGGAAGAAAUGUCAGAUGGCUAAUACCCAUGUGAUUUGACGGUACCUGCAAAGGAAGCACCGGCUAAAUCCGUGCCAGCAGCCGCGGUAAUACGGAUGGUGCGAGCGUUGUUCGGAAUUACUGGGCGUAAAGGGCGCGUAGGCGGCGUGCCAAGUCAGAUGUGAAAGCCCACGGCUCAACCGUGGACGUGCAUCUGAAACUGGCAUGCUUGAGUACUGGAGAGGAAAGUGGAAUUCCUGGUGUAGAGGUGAAAUUCGUAGAGAUCAGGAGGAAUACCGGUGGCGAAGGCGACUUUCCGGACAGAUACUGACGCUGANGCGCGAAAGCGUGGGGAGCA